rnacentral:lncRNA from 1 species
GAUGCAUGUCAUGACUUGAUUCACAAUUCCUUGGGGAUCUGGAUCAAAUCUUCUUAGCCUACUUACCAUGGUAAUUAUCUAUAAGAGAAAACCAAUACGACUUUGCAAAUAGUGGUUAAAGUCAAAAUGAAUCUCCCUAUAAGUAAGUACAAUCGAACUUUCCUUUUCACAAGAGAUAUUUCUCAACAUUAUGACCUAUCAUCAGGACACUCCCCUAU